UCACCAUUCGAGGGUGUAUUUGACAGGCAAACGUUAUGGAACAAGAAAACGAAAGGGUGAUAAAGUAGUUAAGGCGUUCAUUUGCGAAAAACAUAGUAUUCGGAAGGAGAAGAUUUUUGAUGAGAGGACUUAUUCUCUGCUAGAAGCGGAAUGGUGAGCUGUUACUUCGAACAAAGGUCAGACUUGAUGGUUCUGUUUAUUGUAAUAACACUGGCAACAACAUUCCGAUUGAAAUUUACACAGGUUGUGUUCAUUGUUAACUUUUAUGAAAAGUAUAUUCAUUAACAUGCUCCAAAUCUUUAUUUAUGCUGUUGUUUUUGUUUUGUUCCAACUAUUCAGAUACAUCAAUUGAUUUGAUUAUUGGGUAAAAAUGAAACUAUUUAAGUUCCAAAAGAGGUCGCAAAUGUAAUGGUCUUGUAGGAUUAUAUAUAGGUAAGGCUACAUAGUGUGUCACUCCAGGUUGUUUUGAUAGCAGAGUUAGAUCACUCUCCCUCAUGCAUUUACGAACACCUUGCUUUAUAUUGUUGUUUUUAAGAUAUAACCCCUUGUAUGGUAAUAUAUGUGUUACAAGUUUGUUUAUUAGUUCAAUACGUAUGAUUCAACAAACGAUUAAUAACAAUUAACUGCCGUUUUUCCUUAUAAUUCAGCACGAUGGUUGUGUGCGAUAUAUGACGUUGUAUGAUAAUGAGCGGAUGAAAAUUUAUGCGAACAUAUCUUUCAACUAUUCAGGUAUUCCAAUUGUGAAUUCAGAUAUGUAACAUCAAAAUUCGAUAUAUUACGGAAAUUAGAUAUUCUAUUUAUAUAUAUGAAACAGCUAUAGAGACGUGUCUUGCAAACGUUUUCGAAACAUGUUUGUGUUUUCAUAUAUUACAUCUCGUUCGCUGGAUAUUGAAAAAACAGUUUAUAUGUUAUUGUUGUAUACAAUUAAAAAUUUCUCUAAGUUGAAUUUAAACAUUCGAUUUAUUAUAUUUGUCUUAAUAAUUUAAGACGUUAAUUUUUCCCUGAAAGGUUGGUGUCAAUAACGGUGCAUGCAUAUGUGAUAAUUAAUUUACGAUAUGUUGGAUAUACUGGGGUAUAAAUUUGGUUUGAAAAGAGCAUUGACAGUAAGACUGCUGUUUUAAAACUAAGAUGAAAGGCAAUUAUCGGUUUUGUUAAAUUUAGUUUCGUCAUAGUAAAAUGCAUUUUUAAAGAUUAGGUACUGUAAUGAUAACAAAAGUAGACUGGAUUUAUUUGCAUGAUAAGUCAUUUUGUUUUCGUGAAUAGUUUUUUGUUCUUGUUUGGUGGCAUGUUGGCUUGAUGUGUAAAGACAUUUUGCUUUUAUGGUAUUUGGCCGUUUUUUGAUUGCCAGUUAACAUGUGUAAUUUGCUUAUCGUUUGGUGAAAGCCAGUUGACCAGAUGUGGAUAAACCCAGUUGGCGCGUGUAGUUUUUUAACCAAACUUGUUAAAACGUGCGUUUAUAUUUACAUUUUUUGUAUUUAAUGUUUUUAAGAUUGUACUGUUCGAAGGGUAUUAUAUAUAAUGGAGAACAUUAAAUGUAUGUUAUUAAAGACCAGAUUGGCUGAUGUGAAUUAACCGGUUGGCUAGUUUUGUCCGUUGACAGUUUGUUGAAGGCAGAUUUUUUCAGAUGCGUAUAAGCCACUUUGCUUGCGUGUCAGUUUCACUAAAAUGUCUCAAACACAUGUUGAAAUUGCAUUAACAAAUGUUUACAAAGUUUGUUUUUUUUCAGUAGCUGGACAGUUCGAAGGAUAAAUAAUGAAUAGUGUAACAUUAUAGUAAGAGGGCAGCUCGAAAGGUAUGAUUUGUUUUUGUGUAAUUAUGUAUUAGAAAAUAACUUGUUAAGAUUAAUAAUGAUGAUUGUAUUGAUGAUGAUGAUGUUAUUAACGUUGAUGAUGAUGCUAACGUUAUUGGUGAUGAGGAGGUAUUUUUGACAGUAUUUUGUGAAUGGAUAAUACUACAUUUACGAACUUUGAGUGAAUGAAAUUAUUUUAGGUUUGAUAAAUACCGAAUGAUGUUGGUCUAUACAUAUUAUUCAGAAGAGAAAGAGAGUAUGGUUAUGGUUUAGCACGAAACAAUGAAUGUGUUUCUAGGUUUUGCGUUUAAUUGAACAAAAACAAGUAACGGUUUAGCAACAGGGAUUAUUCUCAGAAGGUACAUGUAUUCCUUUUAGAGUCACAGAAAUUAAACUUUGCAUCAAUACCGGAUUUCUUUGAGAUUUGUUUGAUUGGUUAAAAUUCCAUAAUUUGACGAAUUUUCCAGCCGACCAAGUACCUACAGCUUUGUAUUUGAGUGUAUUAAGCAUUUGGUUAUUUUCACAUUUGUUAAUAAAAAAUUAAUAAGGUGUUCUAUUAUAUAAAUUUGGCUCAUACUAUUUCCAUGGAAAGUAACCCUUGUUUUGAUCAUAGGCUUAAAUUAUGUCUUUCUGGAUGCAUUCGGAGAAUUGCAAAGCCGGUAGUUAAAAAAGAGCCUAUUACAUCAGAUAUAUUAAAGAAAUUUUAUCACACUUUUGUUUCUGAGGGCGAUUGUUCUUUGGGGGAUUUAAGAGACGUUACAAUCUUUUUCUUAUCUUAUGCUGGUUUUUUUCAGGAUAAGUGAAAUUUUGUCUGUUAAAAGAUCAGAUGUUGUGUUUUUAGAUACGCAUUGUGAAAUUAAAGUUGAAAAGUCAAAAACGGACAUUUUAAGAGAAGGUAAUACUGUUCUGAUUGCAAAAACUAAUACAGACACAUGUCUUGUGAAAUUGUUUGAAAAGUAUUUGUGUGUUGCAGAUAUUGCAUGUUCAUCUACUGAUUAUGUGUUUAGACCAGUUUAUUUGUGUAAUGUUAAACACUGUUUCAAAUUGAUUUCUAAUAAUAAGCAUAUUCGUUAUUCUACUAUAAAUGAUAGUUUUAAGAAGAAGUUAAGUCUAUUGGGUUAUGUUUCUUCUAAAUAUGGACUUCAUUCUUUUAGUGCUGGUGGAGCAUCUAUAAGUGCCAAUAAUAAGACUGUGGAUAGACUUUGGCAAAGACAUGGUAGAUGGAAAAGUGUUUCCACUAAGAACCGUUAAAACCCAGUUCGAGACGUAUAUAACGUGGUGGAGAAUAUUUAGUUUCAGCGCCGUUCAUUUAGUUUGCAUAAGGGAAGGCCAUUGGUGAAGCCCAUGGUAGUUGUCACGACAACUGGACAUUUUCUUACAAUAGAAAGCCCGUACAUGUCAGACGGCAAGAACAAUGACGC